UACAGAGGUCUCAAGCGUUGUUCGGAUUCAUUGGGCGUAAAGGGUGCGUAGGCGGCGCGGUUAAGUCGGGUGUGAAAAUUUCGAGGGCCUAACUUCCGAAACUGCAUUCGAUACUGCCGUGCUUGAGGACUGGGAGGAGGAGACUGGAAUUUACGGUGUAGCGGUGAAAUGCGUAGAUAUCGUAAGGAAGACCAGUGGCGAA
rnacentral:rRNA from 1 species